rnacentral:rRNA from 1 species
AGUGAACGCUGGCGGUAGGCCUAACACAUGCAAGUCGAACGGCAGCACAGUAAGAGCUUGCUCUUACGGGUGGCGAGUGGCGGACGGGUGAGGAAUACAUCGGAAUCUACUUUUUCGUGGGGGAUAACGUAGGGAAACUUACGCUAAUACCGCAUACGACCUACGGGUGAAAGCAGGGGAUCUUCGGACCUUGCGCGAUUGAAUGAGCCGAUGUCGGAUUAGCUAGUUGGCGGGGUAAAGGCCCACCAAGGCGACGAUCCGUAGCUGGUCUGAGAGGAUGAUCAGCGACACUGGAACUGGGACACGGUCCAGACUCCUAAGGGAGGCAGCAGUGGGGAAUAUUGGACAAUGGGCGCAAGCCUGAUACAGCCAUACCGCGUGGGUGAAGAAGGCCUUCGGGUUGUAAAGCCCUUUUGUUGGGAAAGAAAAGCAGCAGGUUAAUACCCCGCUGUUCUGACGGUACCCAAAGAAUAAGCACCGGCUAACUUCGUG